GCAUGGUCAUGGAUUUAUGGCAGGCCCUUCUCUGUGGGUCUCUCAUAGUGAACCAUGCCAGAGUAAACUGCAGCCCGAACCAUUGCCUAGCCUCCUUACCUGUGGGCUGUGAGCACUGAAGGGGGUUUCACAGCA
ensembl:snoRNA